rnacentral:rRNA from 1 species
UACCGAGGGGGCAAGCGUUGUCCGGAAUUAUUGGGCGUAAAGGGCUCGUAGGCGGUUUGUCGCGUCGGGAGUGAAAUCCACUGGCUUAACUGGUGGCUUGCUUUCGAUACGGGCAGACUGGAGGUAUGCAGGGGAGAACGGAAUUCCUGGUGUAGCGGUGAAAUGCGCAGAUAUCAGGAGGAACACCGGUGGCGAAGGCGGUUCUCUGGGCAUGUCCUGACGCUGAGGAGCGAAAGUGUGGGGAGCGAACAGG